rnacentral:tRNA from 1 species
CACGCCGUCAUAGCUCAGUCGGUAGAGCACAUCCAUGGUAAGGAUGGGGUCGCAGGUUCAAGUCCUGUUGUCG